AUACAACCAUUCACAUCCUCACCUAACCACCUCUUCCUCACGCCGCCGCCCGUCCCCGUCCGUCAUAACGGCGGCGUCCAUCCACUAUUAUUCUCCACACACCAACUCGCCGUCUUGCUAUCUCGCCAAGCCUCACCGUUCCGCCGCCGCAAUCUCUACAAACAUAGCAAUCUAAAUAACAUAACAUUUAAAUACAAGCGACGGCGAGAGGAACAUGGAGACAUUUAAAUUCAAGACUCUCAUUCAUCAUCGAUCUAUUCAUAAAAUAAAUUUUAGUAAUUAACACACCGUCACUGUGAGGAACGGUAGUGGCGGCGGUGGAGCGACGGCGAGAGGAACAUGGAGGAGAGAUGGCGAUGAGGUGAAGAUGAAAAGACUUUCUGUUUUAAUUUGUUUUUAAUUUUUAAAUAUGUAAGUAUAAUCUUUAAAUUCCAGCCGUCAGUGGAUGGACACCGCCGUUAUGACAUCCGGGGAGGGGCGGCGGCAUGAGGAAGAGGUGGUGAGGUGAGGAUGAGAUGAUGGUUGUAUCUCUGAAACAAGAUGAAGAAGAAGACACGCUAUUUCCCUUUAUGUUUUUUUUUUAUCAAAACAAUUACUUAAUUAUAAGUUUUAAUCUCAGCCAUUCAGUUUAUUUUUGCCACAUG
rnacentral:lncRNA from 1 species